rnacentral:lncRNA from 1 species
GCAUUUCCGUGCCCCUGGAUUAAAUGGUUCCUAGGUAACUCAUGCCAGAGGGAUAAACUGGAGAUAUGCAGGUAAUCCAACAAAAGAGACUUGUUCCUAGGUAAGUCAUGGCAGAGGGAUAAACUGGAGAUAUGCAGGUAAUCCAACAAAAGCGACUUGAACUAUAAACCAAGCAACACUAUGCUACGAAAAGUUAGGCAUAUGCAGUAAGGAACUCGUUGCAGAGAAUUUCUAAUAAAAACCAAUCAAGUGGCAUAGAACGACAGCUGAAUUUUACUGAGC